rnacentral:rRNA from 1 species
GACGAACGCUGGCGGCGUGCUUAACACAUGCAAGUCGAACGGACCCUUUGGGGUUAGUGGCGAACGGGUGAGUAACACGUGGGUGAUCUGCCCUGCACUUUGGGAUAAGCCUGGGAAACUGGGUCUAAUACCGGAUAGGACUACGCACUGCAUGGUGUGUGGUGGAAAGCUUUUGCGGUGUGGGAUGGGCCCGCGGCCUAUCAGCUUGUUGGUGGGGUGAUGGCCUACCAAGGCGACGACGGGUAGCCGGCCUGAGAGGGUGACCGGCCACACUGGGACUGAGAUACGGCCCAGACUCCUACGGGAGGCAGCAGUGGGGAAUAUUGCACAAUGGGCGCAAGCCUGAUGCAGCGACGCCGCGUGAGGGAUGACGGCCUUCGGGUUGUAAACCUCUUUCGCCAGGGACGAAGCGCAAGUGACGGUACCUGGAGAAGAAGGACCGGCCAACUACGUGCCAGCAGCCGCGGUAAUACGUAGGGUCCGAGCGUUGUCCGGAAUUACUGGGCGUAAAGAGCUCGUAGGUGGUUUGUCGCGUUGUUCGUGAAAACUCACAGCUUAACUGUGGGCGUGCGGGCGAUACGGGCAGACUGGAGUACUGCAGGGGAGACUGGAAUUCCUGGUGUAGCGGUGGAAUGCGCAGAUAUCAGGAGGAACACCGGUGGCGAAGGCGGGUCUCUGGGCAGUAACUGACGCUGAGGAGCGAAAGCGUGGGGAGCGAACAGGAUUAGAUACCCUGGUAGUCCACGCCGUAAACGGUGGGUACUAGGUGUGGGUUUCCUUCCUUGGGAUCCGUGCCGUAGCUAACGCAUUAAGUACCCCGCCUGGGGAGUACGGCCGCAAGGCUAAAACUCAAAGGAAUUGACGGGGGCCCGCACAAGCGGCGGAGCAUGUGGAUUAAUUCGAUGCAACGCGAAGAACCUUACCUGGGUUUGACAUGCACAGGACGCCGGCAGAGAUGUCGGUUCCCUUGUGGCCUGUGUGCAGGUGGUGCAUGGCUGUCGUCAGCUCGUGUCGUGAGAUGUUGGGUUAAGUCCCGCAACGAGCGCAACCCUUGUCUCAUGUUGCCAGCACGUUAUGGUGGGGACUCGUGAGAGACUGCCGGGGUCAACUCGGAGGAAGGUGGGGAUGACGUCAAGUCAUCAUGCCCCUUAUGUCCUGGGCUUCACACAUGCUACAAUGGCCGGUACAAAGGGCUGCGAUGCCGUGAGGUGGAGCGAAUCCUUUCAAAGCCGGUCUCAGUUCGGAUCGGGGUCUGCAACUCGACCCCGUGAAGUCGGAGUCGCUAGUAAUCGCAGAUCAGCAACGCUGCGGUGAAUACGUUCCCGGGCCU